rnacentral:rRNA from 1 species
CCUACGUGAGGCAGCAGUGAGGAAUAUUGGUCAAUGGGCGGAAGCCUGAACCAGCCAAGUCGCGUGAGGGAGUAAGGCCCUACGGGUCGUAAACCUCUUUUGCAGGGGAGCAGUGCCAAGCUCGUGAGCUGGGAGGAAGCGUACCCGGUGAAAAAGCAUCGGCUAACGCCGGGCCAGCAGCCGCGGUAGUACGGAGGAUUCGAGCGUUAUCUGGAUUGAUUGGGUUUAAAGGAUGCGUAGGCGGGCCUUCAGGCCGGCGGUAAAAUUGCGGGGAUAAACCUCGCCGAGCCGUCGGAACCGGGGGCCUUGAGUACCGGAGAAGUACGCGGAAUGCGUGGUGUAGCGGUGAUAUGCAUAGAUAUCACGCAGAACCCCGAUUGCGAAGGCAGCGUACCGGCCGGUCACUGACGCUGAGGCACGAAAGCGCGGGUAUCGAACAGGAUUAGAUACCCGGGUAGUC